UCUCUGAGGCUGGCCGGUAUCCGACAUGCUAUGGAGGCUCUGACAUCCUCAGACAGUACCUCCCUUAAUUACCUCACCCACGCUGGGAGGAUGGUGUUGAGCGGAUUGUCCGAGCUCAACCAGCAGGAUGUGAGGCAGUUUCAGCAGGCCUACGACCUCCUGGUGAACUUCAUUAAUGAGCCAGCAAACAGGGAGCGACUAGAGCAAGAGAUGGCUCUUGUAGGAAUCGACCGCAUCAACUUCGU